rnacentral:rRNA from 1 species
CCUUUGAUGACGACUGGCGCACGGGUGAGUAACGCGUAUCCAACCUUCCCAUAACUACGGGAUAACCCGUUGAAAGACGGCCUAAUACCGUAUGAUAUCGUUUGCUGACAUCAAAUAACGAUUAAAGGUUUAGCGGUUAUGGAUGGGGAUGCGUCUGAUUAGCUUGUUGGCGGGGUAACGGCCCACCAAGGCAACGAUCAGUAGGGGUUCUGAGAGGAAGGUCCCCCCACAUUGGAACUGAGACACGGUCCAAACUCCUACGGGAGGCAGCAGUC